CGGGUGGUAAUGCCGGAUGCUCCAUCACACCGCAUGGUGUGUUGGGAAAGCCUUUGCGGCAUGGGAUGGGGUCGCGUCCUAUCAGCUUGAUGGCGGGGUAACGGCCCACCAUGGCUUCGACGGGUAGCCGGCCUGAGAGGGCGACCGGCCACAUUGGGACUGAGAUACGGCCCAGACUCCUACGGGAGGCAGCAGUGGGGAAUAUUGCACAAUGGGCGCAAGCCUGAUGCAGCGACGCCGCGUGAGGGAUGGAGGCCUUCGGGUUGUAAACCUCUUUUGUUAGGGAGCAAGGCACUUUGUGUUGAGUGUACCUUUCGAAUAAGCACCGGCUAACUACGUGCCAGCAGCCGCGGUAAUACGUAGGGUGCAAGCGUUAUCCGGAAUUAUUGGGCGUAAAGGGCUCGUAGGCGGUUCGUCGCGUCCGGUGUGAAAGUCCAUCGCUUAACGGUGGAUCCGCGCCGGGUACGGGCGGGCUUGAGUGCGGUAGGGGAGACUGGAAUUCCCGGUGUAACGGUGGAAUGUGUAGAUAUCGGAAAGAAACACCA
rnacentral:rRNA from 1 species